rnacentral:rRNA from 1 species
GACGAACCGUACGAACGUUAUUCGGAAUCACUGGGCUUAAAGGGCGCGUAGGCGGCGCAGAAAGUUGGGUGUGAAAUCCCUCGGCUCAACCGAGGAACUGCGCCCAAAACUACUGUGCUCGAGGGAGACAGAGGUGAGCGGAACUUAGGGUGGAGUGGUGAAAUGCGUAGAGAUCCGGAGGAACACCAAAGGCGAAGGCAGUGUCCUGGGGAGUACCUGACGCUCAGGUGCGAAAGCCAGGGGAGCGAACGGG